rnacentral:sRNA from 3 species
CCCUAGCCCAGAUAGUAGCGGUAUCCUUUUCUUGCUUUCUUUAGGCAAGAAAAGAUAUAGCGGAUAGCUGGAAAUAGC